ensembl:lncRNA
CCCCGCCCCCAGCAGCUGGGGAUUCCUGCCAGGCUCGGGCGGGGGGCGGGGCCCAGAGCCCGCAAGGCAUCUUGGGAACGCAGAGAUGAGGGUCCCGGUGGCUUGAGGGAGGCAGAGAUGGGGGUCCCCGGGGCUUGAUGGGGGGAAGGUGGGGGUCCCCGGGGCUCGAUGGAGGGGAGGUGGGGGGUCCCCGGGGCUCUAUGGGUGCGGAGACGGGUGUCCCCGGGGCUCGAUGGGUGCGGAGACGGGUGUCCCCGGGGCUCGAUGGGUGCGGAGUUGGGGGUCUCUAGGACUUGAUGGGGGCGGAGAUGGGGGUCCCAGGGGCUCGAUGGGUGCGGAGACGGGUGUCCCCGGGGCUCGAUGGGUGCGGAGUUGGGGGUCUCUAGGACUUGAUGGGGGCGGAGAUGGGGGUCCCAGGGGCUCGAUGGGUGCGGAGACGGGUGUCCCCGGGGCUUGAUGGGGGCGGAGAUGAGGUCCCCGGAAUGCAGUGCGGGUGUGUGGAGAUGGGGGGGGUCUCGGGGCGCGGUGGUCUGUGCAGAUGGAGCUCCCGGGAAAGCAGUGUGGGUGUGUGGAGAUGAGGGUUUUCGGGGCGCGGUGGUCGGUGCAGAUGGUGGUCCCCAGAGUGCAGUGGGGGUCUGUGGAGAUAAAGGUCCCCGGCCUGCGCUGGGGGUGCAGGCCCUUCUCAGCCUAAGCACUACUGACCCUCGGGGCCGGAUCAUGCAUUUUCGUGGGGCUGCCCUGGGCGGCUGCAGCGCAUUCAGUAGCGACUCUGGUCUGUGUCCACUAGAUGGCGGUAGGUGCCCACUAAUGGUGAGAAUCCGGACGUCCGCACGCGUCCUGUCCACCGGGGAACUGAAUCACCCCUCACUGAGUGCCCCGGCUAGACAGGGCUGGAGAGAAACCAACAGAUCUGACUGACGGAUGGAUGGAUACAUACGUAGAUAAUGAGAGAUGACAGAUUAAGUAGGUAAGAGUCAUGUCUGGUCAGGGUCUCUGCCCUACCGCCAUCUGGGGCUGGACGAGUCUCUAUGGGGGGCGUCCUGUGCACUGUGGGGUGUGGAGCAGCUCUGUUCUCCCCCCACCACAUGCCAGGGGCAGCCCCUGCCCCCAGUGCUGAGAAGCAAGAUGACCCCUGACUAAUUCAUACCAUGUAUAUUUAAACUAAUACAUAUCUUUGUGUUCAUGUGACUGUAUAUAAGAACCUGGGUCUCUUGCCUUGCAGGCAGAUUCUUUACCACUGCACCCCCAGGGAAGCCCCUAUAUAUAUAUGGUAUAUCAUGGAAUAUGCUAUAUAUUGGGCUUCCCUGGUGGUUCAGAUGGUAAAGAAUCCGCCAGCAAUGUGGGAGACCUGGGUUCAAUCCCUGGAUUGGGAAGAUCCCCUGGAGGAGGACAUGGCCACCCACUCCAGUAUUCUUGCCCGGAGAAUCCAAUGGUCGGAGGAGCCUGGCGGGCUGUAGUCCACGGGGUUGCCAAGAGUCAGACACGGCUGAGCGACUUAGCACAUGUGCACCCCUGUGUGGAGUUAGGAUAAACUCUUCAUUGCUAGGUUAAAAUAAACAUCUUGCUUAGAAAAAAAAAAAAAGAUGG